GUGGGGAAUAUUGCACAAUGGGCGCAAGCCUGAUGCAGCAACGCCGCGUGAGGGACGACGGCCUUCGGGUUGUAAACCUCUUUUAGCAGGGAAGAAGCGAAAGUGACGGUACCUGCAGAAAAAGCACCGGCUAACUACGUGCCAGCAGCCGCGGUAAUACGUAGGGUGCAAGCGUUGUCCGGAACUAUUGGGCGUAAAGAGCUCGUAGGCGGUUUGUCGCGUCUGCUGUGAAAACCCGAGGCUCAAUCUCGGGCCUGCAGUGGGUACGGGCAGACUAGAGUGCGGUAGGGGAGAUUGGAAUUCCUGGUGUAGCGGUGGAAUGCGCAGAUAUCAGGAGGAACACCGAUGGCGAAGGCAGAUCUCUGGGCCGUAACUGACGCUGAGGAGCGAAAGCGUGGGGAGCGAACAGGAUUAGAAACCCCGGUAGUCC
rnacentral:rRNA from 1 species